AGGAAAGUCUAGUUCCUUACAACUUAACGCAUAGCGUUGUGAAUAUGUAACGUUAGCGCUUAGGUAAGCGAGUGGGACGUGGGUCUUAUUUCUCUCGGCAACGGGAACGAAAGCGUUCGCCCCUCCGAAGCUUGUUUGAGGGUAAGGUUUAAUAUGUUGAAUAUUGCUUGAUUUUAUCCAGAAGGAUUGCCGCGGGGUGAACUACUUCACUCAACUAAAUUUGGCUUACCGCU
rnacentral:RNase_P_RNA from 1 species